ensembl:lncRNA novel transcript, sense intronic to PDE11A
CAAAAUCUAGAAGUGAUUCACGGGAAAGUAUUUCUUCCAAAUAAGAGAAGACAGCAAAGUAUAAUGGCUGUACUGGCCAUAUGGAACCUCACCAGGAAGCUCUGUGAUAAAGUUGCCCUUCUUUCUAAUGUGCUUCAGCAUCAUUCUUGGAAUUUUUAUUUGUUUGUUUGUUUCUGAUGGAGAUUAUAGUUUUGUGACAGCUAGGCCCUUGUCUGUUGUUUCACAUUUUUCUAUCUUAUAAAAUUUCUACACCU